rnacentral:ribozyme from 1 species
AGAGUGUAAGAAAGAAAGAAAAAAAGAAAGAACGAGUCUAUGUCCCCUCCUUGAGCUUCUUUCUUUCUUCCUUUCUUUCUUUUCCUCUUUCUUGAAAACGUCUACUUCUCUCUUUCUCAAAUUUCUCUACAAUU